rnacentral:rRNA from 1 species
CAGUCGCCGCGGUAAUACGAAGGGGGCUAGCGUUGCUCGGAAUGACUGGGCGUAAAGGGCGCGUAGGCGGUUUAUACAGUCAGAUGUGAAGUUCCUGGGCUCAACCUGGGGACUGCAUUUGAUACGUAUGGACUUGAGUGGAGAAGAGGGUCGUGGAAUUUCCAGUGUAGCGGUGAAAUGCGUUGAGAUGUGGAGGAACACCAGUGGCGAAGGCGACUCUCUGGUCUGUAACUGACGCUGAGGAGCUAAAGCGUGGGGAGCGAACAGGAUUAGAUACCCCAGUAGUCCCUGUCUCUUAUAC